GCCAUUCUGUUUUCGUAUCGACGUCUGGCCGUUGCUUUGUCGCCGGUCGGCUGCCCUCCACAGAGCCCAGUCGAAACGAUUCCGGCACCGGCCCAA
rnacentral:sRNA from 1 species